rnacentral:rRNA from 1 species
UACGGAGGGAGCUAGCGUUGUUCGGAAUUACUGGGCGUAAAGCGCGCCGUAGGCGGCUUUGUAAGUUAGAGGUGAAAGCCCGGGGCUCAACCCCGGAAUUGCCUUUAAGACUGCAUCGCUUGAAUCCGGGAGAGGUGAGUGGAAUUCCGAGUGUAGAGGUGAAAUUCGUAGAUAUUCGCAAGAACACCAGUGGCGAAGGCGGCUCACUGGCCCGGUACUGACGCUGAGGUGCGAAAGCGUGGGGAGCAAACAGG